CAAAGGCGGGCUCAGGAGCUCACUGGCGUAGUGGCCACCGGCCAACUUGACUCAACAGCCUGCAUCCCACCAGUACAAAGCCUCUACCACCAUCACGAGAGGACAAGAAUGGACCGCCACCACCCUUCUCCCGUGCACCUUGCCAACUUCAGGGCCCUCUGCGGCAGAUCUGGAACCUGGAGGGACAAGGUGGCCGGCCAGGCGCAGAGGCACUAAGUCCUGCUCGCCCCUGCCCCCUGGUGGCUGAACAUGGCCUUACAGAAACAGGAUGCUUACUGGAGGCAGG
rnacentral:lncRNA from 1 species